rnacentral:rRNA from 1 species
UACGUAGGGGCUAGCGCUAUCCGGAAUUACUGGGCGUAAAGGGUGCGUAGGUGGUUUCUUAAGUCAGAGGUGAAAGGCUACGGCUCAACCGUAGUAAGCCUUUGAAACUGGGAAACUUGAGUGCAGGAGAGGAGAGUGGAAUUCCUAGUGUAGCGGUGAAAUGCGUAGAUAUUAGGAGGAACACCAGUUGCGAAGGCGGCUCUCUGGACUGUAACUGACACUGAGGCACGAAAGCGUGGGGAGCAAACAGGAUUAGAUACCCUGGUAGUCCCUGAG